UACGUAGGGUGCGAGCGUUAAUCGGAAUUACUGGGCGUAAAGCGUGCGCAGGCGGUUUUGUAAGUCAGAUGUGAAAUCCCCGGGCUCAACCUGGGAACUGCGUUUGAAACUACAAGGCUAGAGUGUAGCAGAGGGGGGGUAGAAUUCCACGUGUAGCAGUGAAAUGCGUAGAGAUGUGGAGGAAUACCAAUGGCGAAGGCAGCCCCCUGGGUUAACACUGACGCUCAUGCACGAAAGGCGUGGGGAGCAAACGAGG
rnacentral:rRNA from 1 species